GCCCAUUAUAGCUCAGUCAGAAGAGUAUGAGACUCUUAAUCUCAGGGUUGUGGAUUUGAGCCCCAUGUUGGGCA